GACCCUUCUUAAGCCGAGGGUCACCUAGCCAACUGACGUUGUUAGUGAACUUGAUUUUGUUCACAUGUAUAUAAGCCAAUCGCACUCUUUGCGGUUGGCUAUUUUUU
rnacentral:sRNA from 2 species